rnacentral:lncRNA from 1 species
UUCUUUUUUAUGUUUUUUAUUUGAGACCAAGAAGGGUUGAUUGGUCUUCUAUUAGGAUGAGGUCUGUUUCUGUGCUGCAACAUCAUCAUAACAACAAUGCCACCUCCACUGUAAGUAAUCCUUAUCUUUAUACUACAUGUUGAAAUAUCGUAGUUGAAAUAUCUUGUUAAAAGUUCCACAUUAGAUGAAAUAAAGUUUGAAAUGGGGAUAGCGAGCAGAUGACCCAACGGAUUUUGGAAUAGCCACUGAUACUAUCUGAAGCACUGUGGAUUGCCCCCACUUAUAAACACUUAUUCAUGUCGUCUGUCAACUGAUGUGGGACUCUUUAACAUGGUCCAACCCAAAUUUUAAUAUGAUCUAUAGCUUAUCCAAGAUUGGUGCCACUCUAGAUGUUCAAUCCUAGGCGUGAUAGGUUUGUUAAGAGCAUCCACAAUGGUAGUCCACUAAUAAGGACUCCUUAAAUGGAAUCACG